rnacentral:rRNA from 1 species
AUGUUGAUGCAAGACUAUUUCACAGAGAAUCCAUCAUAUCCUCCAGACCUCUUCCGGAGAAGGUACCGAAUGCGCCGAUCCCUCUUUGUGAAAAUUAUUCAAGCUUGCGAGGCAAAUUGUCGGUAUUUUACUCAACGAAGAAAUGCUACGCGCUUGAAGGGAUUUGGUGCAUAUCAAAAAAUCUCGGCAGUUAUGGCGUUCCGGCUGGCCUGGCAUAUGGCGUUCCGGCUGGCUAUGCCGAUUGCAUAUGGCGUACCGGCUGGCUAUACCGAUUGCAUAUGGCGUUCCGGCUGGCUAUGCCGAUGA